rnacentral:lncRNA from 1 species
UUAGAAUUAACAGAUACAAGCUACCUUUCUCUUUACCAAUCCCCUUCACCUUCCCAGUGAACAUAUCCUGGAAGACACAAAUGUUGGAAAAAAUUCACAGAGCAUUGCAACUCUCUUGUCACCUUAGAGACUAACAACAAAUUGUAUUUAAAUCUAGGCGCACAAAAAACAUCAUGUAUGGUGUCAUCUCCGGUAAGUUAAUAACGGCCUUAAUAAGUAACAGGACUGACUUACCAUUUGGCAAGCUAACAUUACAUCUCCUAUUUUCAGGCAUCUUUAUUAUAUCAUCCAACAUAUUAUAAUUUGAAGCCAUAUGAUCUAUUGAUCCAGUGUCUAUAAUCCAAGGAUCCCUACAAUCUUUCAACAAACUUGAAUUACCAUUACCUGCCACAUUGGUUGUGUUCUCCUCUGCCUUGUCCUUGUUGAGCAACCUUAUUAUCUGCCCAUACUGCUCCUCAGUGAAGAAGUUUGACACUCCUUGAGGCAUUUCAGCUUUUCCUUUAUUUGUAGCAUUCUGUUGAGCAUGACUACUGCUAUUCACAAUUGCAUUUGCCUGUUUGUACUGUUGUUGCCUUUUUCCUUUGUGUCCAGUGGAUAUUCGUGUAGCUUGUAACAAGUAUCCUUUGAAUGGCCUUUGAAGUGGCAAUACUCACAAUACAAAUCACUUUGCCUUUUAAACCUUGACUGAUUUCCUCCUAUACUCAUGCAAACCGUAGAUUCAUUCAUUUCAUUUGCUAAACUAAUCUCAGAAUUAUAAACACACAUUUCUUUUGAUUCUCCUCAUUUAUUAGCACUGCAAAUGCACGACUAACAAAAGAUGAUGGAUAUUGCAAUAGAAUUCGAUUUCUAAUUAGCUCCAUAUGACUCAUUUAAUCCCAUUAGGAACUGAAAAAGCUUUUGUUGUUCUAAGUGUUUGAUGAAGUCUCUAGUGCCAGCAGUAACUGGAAGUGAGGGUAUAAGAGAACCAUAGUCAUCCCAUAACGACUUCAACCUAGAAUGAUAGAUAGAGAUACUAGAGGUACCUUAAGAAAUUGUGGCUAUUUCUCACUGUAGAUUGUAGACUCUAGAACCAUUGACUUUGUUGAAUCGAUCUUCUAGGUCCAGCCAGACUUCAUGAGCAUUUUUAGCAUACACAAUGCCAUUAACCAUUUCUGGAGAUACAGAAUUCAUGAUCCAUGUCAACAGUGUUGCAUUAACUCUCUUCCAGUCCUCGCCUAGAUCUUCAGCAAACGAAGAUUUUGUACAACUUCCAUCAAUGAACCCUAAUUUUCUCUUCGCUCAUAGCGCAAUCACCAUGCCUUACUCCAGAUGGAAUAAUUCUCUAUUCCUUUCAACUGAAUUGAAAUUAUCAUAUUGCUAGGAUUAUCGAACGGUUGCAGAAAUAGUGGAUGCCUAAGAUUACAAUAUCUAGAUUCGCCAUUGUUGAGUUUCGAUUGAGCUUCAAUUUCAACUCAAGAAGAAAAAUCUAUAAGCUCACAAUAAAAAAAUCUAUGCUCUGUCCUCGAUCGUAUCACUCAAGCUCUGAUACCAUGACAAAAUCCGCCAUUAAAGGGUAGAGAAUUGAGGUUGAGGUUGAAUCGAAGAAAGAAGAAAAAGAAGAUACUGGAAGAAAAUGAUCUUCAAUUAUAGAGCAAAAG